GAGUUUGAUCCUGCUCAGGAUAAACGCUGGCGGCGUGCCUAACACAUGCAAGUCGAACGUCCUGGGGUUUUACGGAACCGCAGGGAGUGGCGGACGGGUGAGUAGCACGUGGGUAUCUAGCUCCGAGUGCGGAAUACCGGCGAGAAAUCGCCGACAAGACCGCCUACGUUCCCCCCUAAUGGGGGGAGGAAAGCUUUCCUGCGGGGGAGCGCUCGGAGAUGAGCCUGCGGCCGAUUAGCUAGUUGGUGGGGUAAAAGCCUACCAAGGCGACGAUCGGUAGCUGGUCUGAGAGGACGAUCAGCCACACUGGGAUUGAGAACGGCCCAGACUCCUACGGGGGGCAGCAGUGAGGAAUUUUCCGCAAUGGGGGCAACCCUGACGGAGCAACGCCGCGUGCAGGAGGAAGCUUUUCGGAGUGUAAACUGCUUUUCUGUGGGAAGAGGCAGGACGGUACCACAGGAAGAAGCCCCGGCUAACUACGUGCCAGCAGCCGCGGUAAUACGUAGGGGGCGAGCGUUGUCCGGAGUUACUGGGCGUAAAGGGCGUGCAGGCGGUCGUGCGCGUUUGUGCAGACAGCCCCGUGCUUAACGCGGGGAGCGGUACAAAGACGGCGCGACUUGAGGACGGCAGAGGGACACAGAAUUCCGAGUGGAGCGGUGAAAUGCGUAGAGAUUCGGAGGAAUACCGAAGGCGAAGGCCGUGUCCUGGGACGUAUCUGACGCUGAGGCGCGAAAGCUAGGGGAGCGAACGGGAUUAGAUACCCCGGUAGUCCUAGCCGUAAACGAUGACCACCAGGUGUGCGGCGUAUCGACCCGCUGCGUGCCGGAGCUAACGCACGAAGUGGUCCGCCUGGGGAGUACGGUCGCAAGAUUAAAACUCAAAGGAAUUGACGGGGACCCGCACAAGCAGCGGAGCGUGUGGUUUAAUUCGAUGCGACGCGAAGAACCUUACCAGGGCUUGACAUGCCACUGCACCACUCUGCGAGGGGUGUCCCUUCGGGGCGGUGGCACAGGUGCUGCAUGGCUGUCGUCAGCUCGUGCCGUGAGGUGUUGGGUUAAGUCCCGCAACGAGCGCAACCCCUGUCGUCGGUUGGGAUAUCCGGCGAGACUGCCACGAUCAACGUGGAGGAAGGUGGGGAUGACGUCAAGUCAGCACGGCCCUUACGUCCUGGGCGACACACACGCUACAAUGGCCGAGACAACGAGUCGCCAACCCGCGAGGGGGAGCCAAUCUCAGCAAACUCGGUCUCAGUUCGGAUGGCAGGCUGCAACCCGCCUGCCUGAAGUCGGAGUUGCUAGUAACCGUGGGUCAGCACACCACGGUGAAUACGUUCCCGGGUCUUGUACACACCGCCCGUCACACCACGAAAGUCGGCAACACCUGAAGCCGCUGGGCUAACUCGGAGACGAGAGGCAGGCGUCGAGGGUGGGGUCGGUGAUUGGGGUGAAGUCGUAACAAGGUAGC
rnacentral:rRNA from 1 species